rnacentral:rRNA from 1 species
AUUGAACGCUGGCGGCAGGCCUAACACAUGCAAGUCGAGCGGAGCGGCGGACGGGUGAGUAAUGCCUAGGAAUCUGCCUGGUAGUGGGGGAUAACGUCCGGAAACGGGCGCUAAUACCGCAUACUAUCAGAUGAGCCUAGGUGGGAUUAGCUAGAUGGUGGGGUAAUGGCCUACCAAGUCGACGAUCCGUAACUGGUCUGAGAGGAGGAUCAGUCACACUGGAAUUGAGACACGGUCCAGACUCCUACGGGAGGCAGCAGUGGGGAAGAUUAGGCAAUGGGCGAAAGCCUGAUCCAGCCAUGCCGCGUGUGUGAAGAAGGUCUUAGGAUUGUAAAGCGCUUUAAGUUGGGAGGCGGUACCGACAGAAUAAGCACCGGCUAACUUCGUGCCAGCCGCCGCGGUAAUAC